rnacentral:sRNA from 1 species
GCUGGGUGUGGUGGCACACACCCGUAAUGCCAGUGGCUCAGGAGGUUGAGGCAGGAGGAUUGCAAGUUCAAAGCCAGCCUCAGAAACUUAGUGAGGCACUUUACAACUCAGCAAGACCCUGUCUCUA